AACGAACGCUGGCGGCAGGCCUAACACAUGCAAGUCGAGCGAACUCUUCGGAGUUAGCGGCGGACGGGUUAGUAACGCGUGGGAAUAUGCCCCUGGGUACGGAACAACAGCUGGAAACGGCUGCUAAUACCGUAUGAUGUCUUCGGACCAAAGAUUUAUCGCCCAGGGAUUAGCCCGCGUUGGAUUAGCUAGUUGGAGAGGUAACGGCUCACCAAGGCGACGAUCCAUAGCUGGUUUGAGAGGAUGAUCAGCAACACUGGGACUGAGACACGGCCCAG
rnacentral:rRNA from 1 species